rnacentral:rRNA from 1 species
CCUACGGGUGGCAGCAGUGGGGAAUAUUGCACAAUGGGGGAAACCCUGAUGCAGCGACGCCGCGUGAGUGAAGAAGUAUUUCGGUAUGUAAAGCUCUAUCAGCAGGGAAGAAAAUGACGGUACCUGAUUAAGAAGCCCCGGCUAACUACGUGCCAGCAGCCGCGGGAAUACGUAGGGGGCUAGCGUUAUCCGGAUUUACUGGUUGUAAAGGGAGCGUAGACGGCAGCACAAGUCUGGAGUGAAAUGCCGGGGCUUAACCCCGGAACUGCUUUGGAAACUGUGCAGCUAGAGUGCAGGAGAGUUAAGUGGAAUUCCUAGUGUAGCGGUGAAAGGCGUAGAUAUUAGGAGGAACACCAGUGGCGAAGGCGGCUUACUGGACUGUAACUGACGUUGAGGCUCGAAAGCGUGGGGAGCAAACAGGAUUAGAUACCCGGGUAGUC